UUCCGGUUGAUCCUGCCGGAGGCCAUUGCUAUCGGGGUCCGACUCAGCCAUGCUAGUCGUGCGGGUUCAGACCCGCGGCAGACAGCUCAGUAACACGUGGCCAAACUACCCUCUGGACGCGGACACCCUCGGGAAACUGAGGCUAAUCCACGAUACGGCUCCCGCGCUGGAAUGCGGGGAGCCGGAAACGCUCCGGCGCCAGAGGAUGUGGCUGCGGCCGAUUAGGUAGACGGUGGGGUAACGGCCCACCGUGCCCAUAAUCGGUACGGGAUGUGAGAGCAAAUAGCCCGGAGAUGGAUUCUGAGACAAGAAUCCAGGCCCUACGGGGCGCAGCAGGCGCGAAACCUUUACACUGCACGCCAGUGCGAUAAGGGGACCCCGAGUGCGAGGGCAUACAGUCCUCGCUUUUGUACACCGUAAGGAGGUGCACGAAUAAGGGCUGGGCAAGACCGGUGCCAGCCGCCGCGGUAAUACCGGCAGCCCGAGUGAUGGCCGCUGUUAUUGGGCCUAAAGCGUCCGUAGCCGGCCGAACAGGUCUGUCGGGAAAUCCAUCUGCCUAACAGAUGGGCGUCCGGCAGAAACUGUUCGGCUUGGGGCCGGAAGAUCCGAGGGGUACGUCCGGGGUAGGAGUGAAAUCCCGUAAUCCUGGGACGGACCGCCGGUGGCGAAAGCGCCUCGGAAGGACGGACCCGACGGUGAGGGACGAAAGCUGGGGUCUCGAACCGGAUUAGAUACCCGGGUAGUCCCAGCCGUAAACGAUGAUCGCUAGUGUGUGGCACAGGCUACGAGCCUGUGCUGUGCCGUAGGGAAGCCGUGAAGCGAUCCGCCUGGGAAGUACGUCCGCAAGGAUGAAACUUAAAGGAAUUGGCGGG
rnacentral:rRNA from 1 species